UACGUAGGGUGCAAGCGUUGUCCGGAAUUAUUGGGCGUAAAGAGCUCGUAGGCGGUCUGUCGCGUCUGCUGUGAAAACCCGGGGCUCAACCCCGGGCCUGCAGUCGAUACGGGCAGACUAGAGUGCGGUAGGGGAGACUGGAAUUCCUGGUGUAGCGGUGAAAUGCGCAGAUAUCAGGAGGAACACCGGUGGCGAAGGCGGGUCUCUGGGCCGUAACUGACGCUGAGGAGCGAAAGCGUGGGGAGCGAACAGG
rnacentral:rRNA from 1 species